AUCGUAGACGUACAUUGUACGUCCGUGUAAGUUCCGCUUGCUUAACCGAAUUUCCAUCGACAUCGCGAGCACGAAAGGAUGCAAAUCCAUUACCGGUGCAAUAUACGUCACUGAUUAUUUCUUGAUUUAUUGUGUUGAAGCAUGGUUGAAGUUAUGCAGAUUCAAGUACGAAGCAACUCAGUGAAAUCAUCUUAAGCAAGGCGGAUAAGGAAGAAGAGUAAGGCUCCAGAUGCCGUAGUUCGUGCGAAACUGCACUGAAAUGACUGAUCUACCCAACAUAGCAUCGCGAGUGAAAAGUUGUGCAUGUGAACUUAGAAAGUGGUUUGAAUUGCUACUUUGAAUGGCAUGAUGGUUGAGCUCUUCGUGUCAUUUUUCUCUAUCUAACAUAACUCGUAUUUUAUGCGGAAAAAUGUUAAAUGAAACGGGUUGGCAUAAACUACCACAAGUGACAUCCACUCUUUAAUGUAGUACACGUAAAUUAACAUACACUACUGCCGACAAACCGUCAGCUUUUUACAAUGACAAACCGCGCGAGGACUAGUACCACUUGGGGGGCCCAUCUUCCGACUGCCCGGUCCGUCAACGGUGCUAGUCAAAGCCUCCGUGAAAGCAGUAACGGGUGCUGCCGGGCGCCGUCUGGCUGGUUCCAAAUACUCAAGUUGGUCGCGCUCCUCGUCGUCUUAGGAGCCCUAGUGGCCCUGCAGUGUUUGCAGCUGGCGGCGCCUAUCGAAGUCGGCGCUUCAAUCUCCGUGGUGGUUGUCUCCAUAGCCGUCGCCUACCAGGUCUCCAAGCUGAAGCAGGCGUGGGAGGCACGGAGAACCAGAAAUGCAGAGGCCUCGGUCAGAGCCCAACCGAAUGCGUCUGCUGGCCAUCGAGAAAUCAACAGCGCCCACAUAAGCGGCAGGUCCCUGCGUAGCCCACCACCAUCUUUCCAAGAGGCUACACAAGGGUUCCCGACCACCCCACCUGUCACCGGUCUUCCCAACAGCCGGUCUUCCAGCACCGCCAACCCUUCAUGCCGCCGCCGGCUGUUGACCCAGCUCUUCUUACUCCUGAUUGCCGCGGUCUUUCUAGCUUUGCUCAUCGUCUCAAUUCUUGUACCCGACGUGCCGAUCUCAACGGGCAUUUCAUUCACCGUGGCUUUCAUCCUCGUAACCAUCGCUUCCCGCAUUCCAAAUAUUUGGCGGGCGCGGAAGGCACGGAGAACGAGGAGUGCACGGGCAGAGCGUGAGGUUGGAGUCUCGUCGACAGCUGUGCCCGAGGAAAUCAAUGGCGGGCGAUUAAACUGUGUUUUCGUCUACGACCCGCCGCCGUACACCGAGGCUACUGGCACGUCCCCACCCGCACUAACCAUCACCUGUCUUCCCAAGGACACACCCCAGGGAUAUCGCCUAACAGGGACGUCCAGACACCCGACCGUGGAGCCCGACGUCGCUGCCCCGCCGGCUGAGACACCGAUAGCAGCAAAUGAUCCCCCUCCGCCGUCUUACGAAGAAGCCAUUGCUAAUGGUGCUUCAUAACAUCCGUGGAAAAUUAUAGCAAACGGGUUUAUUUUGUUUUGGCUAAUCAUGGGGAAAGUCCUUAAUGAAGAAAGUCAAACUCAGUGAUGAUUUGCAUACUCGUCUCUACUGUACUCGAUACCAGAUCGUAAAAUGAGUCCACGUGAUUCUGUUAAUCGCUUCCUCGGUGUUAAAAGCACUUGAGCCUCGAUACGUACACACAGAAAAGAUGAAUGACAAAGUAUAUGCAAUUAUAUUUAUAAGAUUUUGUUUAUUUUUUGUUGGGAUGUUAAUUUUGAUUUAUAUUGACAGGUUUGUCACUUUUUUCACCACUGUGUAUUCAGUGUUUUCCUAUAGGACUUGUGAAACAUCAACAAAUUUACUGUGGUUCGACUCAAAACAACACCUUUUACCAAUAAACCGUUGAGCGUGCCAAGUUAAUUAUCUUAGUCAAUGAGCAGCAGAUACAGCGCCAAGUAACUAUGUAGAUAUACUAUGGGGCGAAAUCGUGCCACUCACUACUACACCAUGAUCUCAGAAGUCUUGCCAAAUAAGACGUCAGUUGAUUAAAAGUCACUAGCUUGUUCAAGUUAUCACCACGAAGUGCUUGAUGGAAAAUAGUCCCAUUGUCUACUGCGCAUGCUCAGCAAACACUGUUUUAGCACCGGACACUUUCUGACAUACCACCAAGCAGGGCGACCGCACGUCGAUUUCAGGGCAUUUAUUUUAAAAAUUGCUCCCUAUUUUACACCCAAAUAUCAUAGACUACGGUUUGGAAGGCAAUGUUUAAAAGAGAUUUGUUUGGCAAUAAAAGUCAAAGACAUGGCUUGUGCAAAGAUUCAGCGGAUGGAUAUUAAAGUCAUGUUGUUAUACGGCGACCUUAGAAUCACACAUGCCUGGGUCGGCUGAGGACCAGUCCUUCAGUGAUGGGUUUCCUCUUAGUGCGAUGCGUUGAAGAACGGUGCUUGUCCACUGAAGUGUGAUCUCGGCUCGGGGUGGAUCAGGACGGCACUUGUGAAAUGU
rnacentral:misc_RNA from 1 species